AGGGUGCUAGUUUAAAAUAAAACAACUGAUUUCGGCUCAGUAAACUACGAUUUAUAGCCGUAAUACCCUU
rnacentral:tRNA from 1 species